rnacentral:lncRNA from 1 species
CAUGAGUACCGCCUCGAGACCAAUGAGAAUGGCCCUCCACAGGCAAGCUGUUGCUUCUCCAACUUAUAUCCAUGGAUCCUCUGUCCAUCUUGACUCACAUACAUAUAAACCUGCAAGCUACUCUAUAAAUUAAUAUAGACUAAUUAAGUUUGUAAAUUUCAGGAGGAAGGGUGGGUAGUAUGCAGGGUGUUCAAGAAGAGAUUACCCACAACAAGAAGAGAUUUAGACCAUGAUGCACCAUGCUGGUACGUCGACGAUGAUGGGCCCUUCAUGCAUGACCUCAACUCUCCGAUGAGAGGGAUGCCGCCUCACC